rnacentral:rRNA from 1 species
UACGGAGGGGGCUAGCGUUGUUCGGAAUUACUGGGCGUAAAGCGCGCGUAGGCGGACCUGCAAGUCGGGGGUGAAAGCCCGAGGCUCAACCUCGGAACUGCCUUCGAUACUGCGGGUCUCGAGUCCGGGAGAGGUGAGUGGAAUUCCUAGUGUAGAGGUGAAAUUCGCAGAUAUUAGGAAGAACACCAGUGGCGAAGGCGGCUCACUGGCCCGGUACUGACGCUGAGGUGCGAAAGCGUGGGGAGCAAACAGG